AGCGUACAUUUCUCAAAGAGGAUUUAAUGCCAGAUUGCUCCUUCUAGCUGUUGCACCAGCCUGUGCUCCCACUGGCAGGGUAUGGAUGUGCCUGUUGCAGAACACCCUCAUCAACAGCCUGUUAUGAGACUUUUGGGUCUUUGCUAAUUUGAUCAUCAAAAAUUAAUGUUUCAGUGUAAUUUUAAUUUGAAUUGUUUUCUAUUGUGAGCAGGGCUGAGCUGCUUUCGUGUGCCUGGGAGCCAUUGGAAUCUCUUCUUCUAGGCCUUGCCUGACCACAUUCUUUGCCCAUAUCUCUAUUGCUCCGCCGGCCUGUUCCUUUCCGGUUUGCAGGAGCUCCUAAGUGAAGGGAAAUUAGUCUGUGGUCUGUACUAGAGCUGCGUAUAUUUCCACCCAGUUUGUCAUUUGUUUUUCAACUUUGCUUAUGGUCUUUUCCAUGCGAAAAAUUUUAAUAUUAUAAAAUUGAAUGUGUUCAUCUUUUCUUUUAUGGUUCUGGGUUUAAUGUCAUAACUGGAAAUGCCUUCCCCUCUCUGAGGUGACUAACCCUCUUUUAGUUUCCUCUAAAAGAGAAAACGGUUGCAUUUUACACGUUUUAAUAUUACAUCUAUUUGGAAUUUAUCCUGGUUGGGUGUGAGAAAUAAAUUUAACUUUGAUUUUUUUUCCCAUUUGAUUGACUUUAAUUUUGUGCUGUUUCAUGGGGAUGCCCCUUCUUGUUUUGCGACACUCAAGGUAUUGCCAAUAUUCUCCAUAAAUGACUAAAAAUCUAAUUUUCAUUGGCUUUAACUAGCAAAACAAUAACUCACAGUUUCUGAACUUACCCCAGGCCAUGAUCUAUUUCGGAAACUGGGGAGAUAAUGAAGUAAAAAACCUUGAAAUCAGACAAGGAAUAAUGUUUGUUGCAUUCCAUCAUCAUUGCUAUUUGGAAAUGCGCAUAUUCAGGACAGGUACUCACAAUAAAAGCAAUUAAAAACAAUAAAACAUAGCUUAAGUGAUUUAAAUCACUUAAAACUGCCAUGUUUAAUGUUCUAAUUAUUCUAUUAGGCUCUUUUUAGACAUGGCAUGAUGAAUAUCCUGCAGCAUUCUGGCUCCUGUGUGCACUGUGAGGGGCUGCCGCACCCCCGGAAUCCUAAGAGGCAGCCCACCAUGGGGUAUGAAGCCCCCUCCAAGGCUUCCCAUGGAAAAGGGAGCUCAGCUGCAAAGACAGAACAAAGACAGAUACUGGUUCCUUAAGCUGUGGAUUUGAGUGGUUGGACUGGCCAAAUCCAGAUACCCAGGGACACUCUACUCAGCUCUCUUUCGCUGCAAGGAGAAUGUCAUUUGUCUGGUAAGAAUGUUGAUUGUCUAGUAAGAUAGAAACUAACGUCUACCCACAGCAAAAGGGUGUCAUGGUCACUGCUGAGUAAAAAUCCUUUGACAAGAACAAACAGA